CACCCACAUCAGGCUGAAACACCAGUUCUCAUAUGAUCACCAAAUUUAAGUAAUGUCAAGCCUGGUCAGUACCUAGAUGGGUGACUGCUUGGGAAUUCCUGGUGCUGUUA